rnacentral:rRNA from 1 species
AUGAAUAAUAGUCUGAUUAAGGUUUUCUCCGAAAAAGAGAUUAGUGAUGCCCUUUUUCAAAUUGCACCCUUGAAAGCUCCAGGGCUGGAUGGCUUCCCGGCCCGUUUUUUCCAAUGGAAUUGGGAAAACAUGAAGAAAGAUGUGAUUGAGGCGGUUAAGGGAUUAUUUGAGAAUGGAAUCAUGCCGGAAGGAAUAAAUGAUACGUCCAUUAUCCUUAUACCUAAAGGAAAGAACCCAAAGAGCUUAAAAGAUUUUCGACCGAUAAGCCUGUGCAAUGUAAUAUAUAAGGUGAUCUCAAAAUGCUUGGUUAACCGUUUGAGACCCCUACUUGAUGAAUUGAUCUCUAAAACCUAG